AGAUUGAACGCUAGCGGGAUGCUUUACACAUGCAAGUCGAACGGCAGCGCGGACUUCGGUCUGGCGGCGAGUGGCGAACGGGUGAGUAAUAUAUCGGAACGUGCCCAGUAGCGGGGGAUAACUACGCGAAAGCGUGGCUAAUACCGCAUACGCCCUACGGGGGAAAGGGGGGAUUCUUCGGAACCUCUCACUAUUGGAGCGGCCGAUAUCAGAUUAGCUAGUUGGUGAGGUAAAGGCUCACCAAGGCGACGAUCUGUAGCUGGUUUGAGAGGACGACCAGCCACACUGGGACUGAGACACGGCCCAGACUCCUACGGGAGCAGCAGUGGGAAUUUGGACAAGUGGGGGAACCUGAUCCAGCCAUCCCGCGUGUGCGAUGAACGGCCUUCGGGUUGUAAGCGUA
rnacentral:rRNA from 1 species